rnacentral:rRNA from 1 species
CCUACGGGAGGCAGCAGUGAGGAAUAUUGGACAAUGGGCGCAAGCCUGAUCCAGCCAUGCCGCGUGCAGGAUGACGGUCCUAUGGAUUGUAAACUGCUUUUGUACAGGAAGAAACAGUUCUACGUGUAGAACCUUGACGGUACUGUAAGAAUAAGGAUCGGCUAACUCCGUGCCAGCAGCCGCGGUAAUACGGAGGAUCCAAGCGUUAUCCGGAAUCAUUGGGUUUAAAGGGUCCGUAGGCGGUUUAGUAAGUCAGUGGUGAAAGUCCAUCGCUCAACGGUGGAACGGCCAUUGAUACUGCUAAACUUGAAUUAUUAGGAAGUAACUAGAAUAUGUAGUGUAGCGGUGAAAUGCUUAGAGAUUACAUGGAAUACCAAUUGCGAAGGCAGGUUACUACUAAUUGAUUGACGCUGAUGGACGAAAGCGUGGGUAGCGAACAGGAUUAGAUACCCUGGUAGUCCACGCCGUAAACGAUGGAUACUAGCUGUUGGAAGCAAUUUCAGUGGCUAAGCGAAAGUGAUAAGUAUCCACCUGGGGAGUACGUUCGCAAGAUGAAACUUAAGGAAUUGACGG